UACGUAGGGGGCAAGCGUUGUCCGGAUUAUUGGGCGUAAAGAGCUCGUAGGCGGCUUGUCGCGUCGUCCGUGAAAACCCAUGGCUCAACUGUGGGCUUGCGGUCGAUACGGGCAGGCUGGAGUUCGGUGAGGGGAGACGUGGAAUUCCUGGUGUAGCGGUGAAAUGCGCAGAUAUCAGGAGGAACACCCGUGGCGAAAGCGGCUCUCUGGGACGGUACUGACGCUGAGACGCGAAAGCGUGGGGAGCAAACAGG
rnacentral:rRNA from 1 species